UUAUCUUUUAAAAAUCAGCUUUUGAGAAUUCUUUCAAUAUUUUUAUUCAAUUUCAUUUUAUCACUAUCUUUUGUAACUAAAAAGGACUAGAUAUUGAUGCUUUGUGUUUGGGGAAUAGUAUGUGUGGUCCUUUAUCGAUUUUAUGGAGUACACCAACGGGACCUUUUGCCUCAGGGUCCAGUUGUAGUUGGUGGAUGAUAGAACUUGUGUUUGCAUUUAUUAGUUUUGACAUGUUUUGAAGUUUUAAAUGGUUGUCAUCUCUGCAAAUGCAAUGAAUACUAAUUUUUAAGUGAAUCUUGCAAGGAGGGAACUAACUUGGUUGGUUGGUCUGGUAUGUUUAGGUCUUCAUGUUGCGGAGGGCCUCCGAAGAGCCCCGGGGACAUGCAGCUGCCAUUAUGACAGAAGUCUUACUGGAUGCUGAAUGCAAAGGAAUUAUCAACGCGUCUCAAAAGAAAGUACUUCUCCAGCAGAUGGCACUUAAUCUCUCUUGAUCCUAGUGCAGUCCUUAUAAACGUACUUAUACAUAAGGGAUUCCACAAGAUCCGCGGAUAUAGGAGAUACUGUAAAUAUGUUUAGUUCUGAGAGAGACAUGUAAAUCCCAUAAAAAUGAAAGGAAAAGAGGUGAUGAUGAGUUUUAUUCAUGUGCCCUCCUGAUAUAUUUUCUUGGUCUGUUAUUUCACAAGGGGUUUAUGAGUUUUUUGAGGAAAUUGAAGCCAAAUAGCCCUGAACUCUGAAUGUUGAAGAGUAAAGGAUAAUUUGUUAUCAAACUUGGUGAAACUUCCUUUGCUGC